CAGUAGCCGCGGUAAUACGUAGGUGGCAAGCGUUGUCCGGAAUUAUUGGGCGUAAAGGGCUCGCAGGCGGUUUCUUAAGUCUGAUGUGAAAGCCCCCGGCUCAACCGGGGAGGGUCAUUGGAAACUGGGAAACUUGAGUGCAGAAGAGGAAAGUGGAAUUCCAUGUGUAGCGGUGGAAUGCGCAGAGAUAUGGAGGAACACCAGUGGCGAAGGCGACUUUCUGGUCUGUAACUGACGCUGAUGUGCGAAAGCGUGGGGAUCAAACAGGAUUAGAGACCCCUGUAGUCCCUGUCUCUUAUAC
rnacentral:rRNA from 1 species